CAGCAGCCGCGGUAAUACGUAGGUGGCAAGCGUUAUCCGGAAUUAUUGGGCGUAAAGCGCGCGUAGGCGGUUUUUUAAGUCUGAUGUGAAAGCCCACGGCUCAACCGUGGAGGGUCAUUGGAAACUGGAAAACUUGAGUGCAGAAGAGGAAAGUGGAAUUCCAUGUGUAGCGGUGAAAUGCGCAGAGAUAUGGAGGAACACCAGUGGCGAAGGCGGCUUUCUGGUCUGUAACUGACGCUGAUGUGCGAAAGCGUGGGGAUCAAACAGGAUUAGAUACCCCAGUAGUCCCUGUCUCUUAUAC
rnacentral:rRNA from 1 species